rnacentral:rRNA from 1 species
CCUACGGGAGGCAGCAGUAGGGAAUAUUGCUCAAUGGGGGAGACUCUGAACCAGCAACGCCGCGUGGAGGAUGACGGUUUUAGGAUUGUAAACUCUCUUUGAUAUAGGAGUUUAUGACUGUAUGUAACGAAUAAGCACCGGCUAACUGCGUGCCGGCAGCCGCGGUAAUACGUAGGGUGCAGCCGUUACACGGAGUACCUGGGCGUAAAGAGUGCGUAGGCGGGGUAUUAGGUCAGUUGUGAAAUGUUGUAGCUUAACUAUAGAACUGCAGUUGAAACUGGUAGUCUGGAGUGUGGUAGAGGUAGGGGGAAUUCUUGGUGUAGGGGUAAAAUCCGUAGAGAUCAAGAGGAAUACUCAUUGCGAAGGCGACCCGCUGGAACGUUACUGACGCUGAUGCACGAAAGCGUGGGGAGCAAACAGGAUUAGAUACCCGGGUAGUC